rnacentral:rRNA from 1 species
UAGACACUAAGACAGACCAUGUUAAACAACCCACGCAUAACGACCCGAACUUAAUGGCCACCUGUCCUAAUGUCUUCGGUUGGGGCGACCAUGGGGUAGCACAAAACCCCCAUGCGGAACAGGAGGACAACCCAACAUUUUUUCCUCUCCUCCCACAAGCGAGAGCCACAACUCUAACUAACAGAAUAUCUGACCUUACAUGAUCCGGCCUCGGCCGAUCAACGGACCAAGUUACCCUAGGGAUAACAGCGCAAUCCCCUUCUAGAGCCCAUAUCGACAAGGGGGUUUACGACCUCRAUGUUGGAUCAGGACAUCCUAAUGGUGCAGCCGCUAUUAAG